rnacentral:rRNA from 1 species
AUGGCGAGGAUUCAGCUUUCUGCCAUAGCGGCCUUCGCAGUCUUCCUCGCGCUGGCCGCCCCCUCCAUUGCCGGCGACCCCGACAUGCUCCAGGACGUCUGCGUCGCCGACCUGAAAUCCUCGAUCAAGCUGAACGGGUUCCCGUGCAAGGCGGAGAUCACGGCGGACGACUUCUUCUUCGCCGGUCUCAAGAAGCCCGGCAACACAAACAACCCUGCAGGGUCGAACGUCACGGCGGCGAACGUGCAGUCAUUUUCCGGGGUGAACACGCUUGGUGUGUCAAUGGCCCGCAUCGACUACGCGCCGGGAGGCCAGAACCCGCCGCACACCCACCCGCGUGCCACCGAGAUUAUCUUUGUACUCGACGGAGUCCUCGAGGUGGGCUUCAUCACCACUGCCAACAAGCUCUUCACCAAGACCAUCACCGUCGGAGACGUGUUCGUCUUCCCGCGUGGGCUCGUGCACUUCCAGCAAAACAGGGGACAUGUCCCCGCCUCUGUCAUCGCCGGCUUCAACAGCCAGCUCCAGGGCACGCAAGCCAUCGCCACCACGCUCUUCGCUGCCGCGCCGCCAGUGCCUAGCGACGUGCUGGCCAAGGCCUUCCGGGUCGGUACCGAAGAGAUCGACGCCGUCAAGGCCAAGUUUCAGUAG